UGGGAUUUUGAUCGCAGAAUCUGCCAAACUCCAAAUAAUAGGUCUAAGAUCAGAUAAUAAUUUGUGCUAAAUUAUGGCUUGAAAUGUCCCUUUUUUAUCUCAUGCUAUCAUCCAACAAGCAUUUUAUUUUCCAGAACACACUUUUAAAAUUGUGGAUAUUGGUUAGGAAAUCAAAACAUUUUUAUUUUGGCUCUUCAUUCUAGGGAUUUGUGCUGAGGAUUCUUACGGACUUCAAACCUUAAUAGCAGAUGAUUAGAGCAAUGUGAAAAUUCACUUCCUGAAGUCCAGCCAAGUUCUAAAAGGAAUGUUUAUUUUGGAGCCUACAUUUUUUUAGCAUAAGCCAGACAAUUUUUGUUUUCUCCAUGAGCAGAUGUACAGUGAAAGUAGAGUGCCGUUCAACCAGAGCUAGCUGUAUUAGCUGCUGCUGAAAACUUUACAGGAGGAAAUAUUCUCAGUGAAAGUUUAUGUACAUCAUGGGAAGAGGGGACUCAAGUCAGCGCGGCUCUUGCUUCCAAGCUGCUCACGUGCUCGCAUGUCAGCAUCCGUGGGAAUGUCAUCUUGGCUCCGGGGCUACAGAUUUAUUGCUUGGCCACCAGAGGGUACCAGAGUUUUCUAAUGAAGGAAAAAACAGUCCUGAGGUCAAAGCAUACCUAUUGUUUCCUUCCAUUUCCCACCGAAGCUGA
rnacentral:lncRNA from 1 species